rfam:Triticum aestivum genome assembly, contig: Triticum_aestivum_CS42_TGACv1_scaffold_499466_6BL
GUAGUAUUCCCUCCGUCCCAAAAUUCUUGUCUUACAUUUGUUUAGAUACAGAUGUAUCUAACACUAAAAUGUAACUAUAUACAUCCAUAUUUAGACAAAGUUAAGACAAGAAUUUUGGGACCGAGGGAGUACAAA